rnacentral:lncRNA from 1 species
AGGGCUGCACCCGCAGCAUAUGAAGAUUCCCAGGCUAGGAGUCUAAUUGGAGCUGUUGUUGCCGGCCUACACCACAGCCACAGCAACACCAGAUCUGAGCCGCAUCUGCUACCUACACCACAGCUCAUGGCAAUGUCAUAUUCUUAACCCACUGAGCAAAGCCAGGGAUCGAACCCGCAAACUCAUGGUGCCUAGUUGGAUUUGUUUCUGCUGCGCCAGGGCAGGAACUCCAGUUUUCACUCUUUAAAAAUGCUGACUCAAGUGAACAAAGAUAUGCAUAUAAGAGUGUUCAUAUUGGCAUUGUUUAUAUAGAGAAAAAUGGAAAUAACCAAAAAUGGGUAGAAUUAGGAGAAUGUUUGACUUUUGUCAUAUUCAAAUAAUGGACUACUAUGUUGCCUUUUAAAGGAUUGAGCUAGAUAAGAGAAAAUAUUUUUAAUUUAUCUAAAACGAGUCAAAGAAAAAUGUACAUUCUGAUUCUACUAUAAAAAUGUGUAUAUGUGUUAUGUGUAUGUACAUAUUUGUGAAUGACAUGCACAUAUACUUUGCGUAAGUAUAUACACAAAAAAAAUCUUUCAGAACUUAUAAGCGGAGUUCCUGAGGUGGCUCAGUGGUAAUGAAGUUGACUAGUGUCCAUGAGGUCGUGUUUGAUCCUUGACCUCACUCAGUGGCUUAAGGAUCUGGCGUUGCCCUGAUCUGUGGUGUAAGUCACAGAUGUGGCUCAGAUUCAGCAUUGCUGUGGCUGUGGUGUAAGCCGGCAGCUGUAACUCUGAUUGGACCCCUAGCCUGAUUGGAACCUCCAUAUGCUGCAGGUAUGGCCCUAAAAAAAGUAAAAUAAAAAUAGUAAAUAAAUUUUAAAUUAAGAAAAAGAACUUAUAAGCAAACAUUUAAUAGAGUAAAGACUGUGAUUACAGAAGACUUUUACCUAUUUUAUUUCUUCUUUUAUCAUUUGAUUUUUUUAUAACACAUGCAUUUAAUCCAGGAAUUCAAAGCUUAUACUACUGAAAAUAUAUUUGUUAGAUUUUUAAUGACUCUUAAGUGACUCUUAAUAGAGCACAAUGAAGAAUAUUCUUCCCUUGGUAACAAAUAACCUAUCUGAUUACAUGUGGAAGAAAGAAUCUAGUAAAUUAUUUUUGAAGAGUAGACAGCAAAUAAAUACUUGCUGAGUGAAUAAAUGACUAAGUAGAAGAAAGUUGACAUGCUUUUGUGGCUAAGAAAGAAAGGGCUCUAUAAAUCUCCAACAGGAACCCACACUCAUUUCAUUGAUGCUAGCCAAGAAAAGAAGUGUUCUAAUAUCUCUGCCCAUUUCUUUCCUCCUUCUUUCAAUUCCUGAAAUUAUCAUAUUCAGUGUCCUGAUGUCAAUUUGGAAUCUUCAUGUAAUACAAGGUAUGAACAUACCCUAUUAGGGAACUCAAGCACAGUAUUUCCUGUUAAGUGUAAAUUACCUCAAGAAGAAAUUCCAGAGGAGAUCAUCUGUGGAGUCUAAUGUUCUGAAUCCUGUGAACCUAGAGGUAGCAAAGAAAUCAAGUAGGAUUUUGAGCGGGAUGUAAAGACCUUUUAUUUUAAAUGUGAUUAUGCUUAACUGCCCAACACUACUUAAAAACAUAACAUCAACCUUAACAGUUUUAAAAAUAUUUUGGCCAUUAGCUACAAUCAUGAAGGUGAGUGAGGUUGAACAUUCCCAUAAUCAAUUUCAAAUGGAUAAAUGAAGCCCAGUGAUUGAAGUUGGCUUUGUUAUCUAAGAGAGCUUGAAAAGGUCAGAUCUUGCACUUGAAGUUUUAGAGCUGUUGUCCAUUCACAUGCCCCCAAGAAAUUCCCUUCUCUAACCUUUUUAAUUGUUUUCUCCACAGUUAGACAAGGCAUAGACAACUGUUCUGUUCAUGUCUCUGUCCAGGGAAACUGGAAAUGGAUCCAGGAGGCCAGUUCUUCUCUAGUUAUGAGUGGAUGUAACAUUGAAAGUCAGGAGUGGUGGUCACUUCACAUUUCUCUGAGUAGAUGAACAGUAGGGAAAGCCUAUUGGGAAGGAAGGAGGGUGGGGAGGGGAAGAAAACAGGAGAAGGAGGAGGAGGAAGGAUGAGGAGGUGGAGGAGGAGGGAAGGUGUGGGAGAAACUAGAUAUGUAGAAGCAGCAGAGACAAGAGACAGUAAGAGAGAGUACUGCCUGGGUCCCUGAGGGAUUCACACUUCCAGUGCCUUCCUAGGUCUAAGUUACAUUCCCAUAAGCAUUUGCACCUUUAUCCUCGAGCUACCUUGACACGAUUGAUUGAUCCUACCCACAGGGAAGGAUUCCUAAUUAGCACCACAGAAGUAGUAGAUAUGCCUUUUGUCCAGAAUUAUUUCAAUUAAAUCUAGAAGUCAGACUCUGUCUAGGUGGUCAGAGCCCCCCUCCAUCUGCUGGGGUCCACAUCUCAUUUCUUGUCUCCGGAGCUGAUUAACUGUGGAUCCACCACCCUCGCCUCAGACUGAUUUGAUUGUUCCUUCCAACACUUACCCAAGUGGAAGGAGGGGGUGGUUGGCUGCUUUGGGGGAAUCACAUCAUUACAGAAGCUGUCCCUUCUCAUUCCUUCAUUACUGACCACAGAUGCACACAUCAUAGAAUAUUGGAGCUGGAAGGAGCUCAGGAAUCAUCUGGUGCAACCCCUUCAUUUAAUAGAUAAGAAAACAGAGGUUCAAAGGGAUGAAGAGGCUUAUUCAACAUUACAUGACAAAUUAGCGGCAGAGCCAGGACCAGAACCUUCCAAUAUUAGCCUCUUUCCUGUGUUCUGCCAGUUGAAGUGAGCAUCUGUGUUGGGCUACAGCCAAGGAAAGAAAACCAGUGCUAUGGGGAAAUGGUGAUAAAUUUCAUGAAAAGCAGCAAUUUUCUUCAGCUCUCAUCUUCUUGGGAGGCGGCUUAGAGUUCUCAUUCCCUCUUGCAGAGCACAGUGUUCGGCCCUGCUCCCACAGCAAGAAUAGCAUUCAACUUUUCACAGCCUUCAUUUUCAGGGUCAGUAUAGUAAAGAAGAGGAAAGCUCUAGAGCUUAAUUGGGACUUCUUUUGUAAAACAGAAUGGAAGGGUCACUUAAAUGUCAAAACAUUUUCCAGCGAUCUGGGCAACUUACCUUUCCCUAAUGCAGUUGCCAAGUUUUUCAGCAUGACAUUUGCAUUGUAGAAAGGCUUGCAGGGAAUUAGAAAGUAUACCAGGCCAGAUUUUUUUUUUUUUUUUAAUCCUCUGCAAUGAUAGAAAAGGGGGAAUUCCCACAGAGUUUUGCACAUAUUUUGUUUUUGUUUCUUUCAAUUAUUUGGGCGCUUAAAAUUGGUUUCCAAAAUUUUUUUUCCUUUUUCUUCCAUGAACCGUACUUUCAGCUUCUGUUCAGUGGGUUAAGGAUCCGGCAUUUGUGGUAUAGGUCGCAGAUGCGGCUCAGAUCCAACAUUGCUGUGGCUGUUGUGUAAGCCUUCAGGUGCAGCUCAGAUUUUGACCCAAGCCUGGGAACUUCCAUAUGCUCCAGGAUAGCCGAAAAAAAAAAAAAGAAAAAGAAAAAGAAAUCCUAGAAUGCAAAAUUCAACAAAUUGGUGAGGUAAAUUUUUUAUCUUAAAACUGUCAAAUAUUCACUAUCAAUGAAAUUAAUACGAAAACUGACAUCAAAGCCUUAAUCAUGGCAAUGAGUAUUGCCAUGGCAAUGUUUCAAUGGAUGUUAACACGUGCACUAUUCAUUUUGUUAUUUUAGUUAACUGUCACUAGUAGCCACUUCUAACUUAUCAUCCUCGUGUUGUAUAUUGAAAGAGGACAAUGAAUUUAAUUGAACUCUACUGUUUGAGGACUUAAUCAUUCAGGACAAUGCUAUUUUGAGGUCUGAAGUUAAAACUUUUUUUUCAUAAAGUAAAUUUAUAGUGCAAACAAGGUGUCAGGGAAAGCAGUUAAAAUUCUUACUUUAUUCUCUCAUUUUCUUGUCAAAGCAAUGAUAUAAGAUAGGAUUAUUACCUACUGUAAACUCCUUUUACAGUUGAGACAAGAGGCUGGCAGUAAGGUUGAGAAACUUAAGAUCACACAGCUACUGUUUGGCUCAGCUGGAAUGCGAACCCAAGUUUUCUGACUCCACAGCCUGUGCUAUUUUUUUUUUUGCCAAGAAGCAUUCAACAACUAUUCAGCAACAGUUUAUUUAUUCAUUAAUUAGCUUACUCAUCAAGCAUUUAUUGAGUUCCUAUAACACAUGGACUAGGCAGGCUCCAGCAAUACCAAAAUAAACAAGAUCCAGACCCUAGGCUGGGGGGCAGGAGGUGGAAAUAGUCACAACAAUAUGGGCCCCUCUGUCACAGAACCCUGUAAACAAAGAAACCACUAAAAGACACAUUUAUUUGCUAAUAAGAAAUUUUACCUAUGGCUCUACAAAAGCCAUAUUGUUGGCAUUCUUUGAGUUGCUUUUAAGUAAUUCAAGUAGUAGAACUAAAUUCAUUUCAAUAGCUUUCCGUAGUUCAGAUUAUACUAUUUAAGACUAAUCAUUUACCAAGUAGUGGUUAGGUUUUACCUUAUUUACCUUGUUGAUUUCUGAGCAAGGGAUAUUCUAAAAGAUACAGCAAGCCAGGGUGACACUUCAUCCAAGGGAUGACCUAGGUUCUGAGUGUGAGUCAAGAAACUUUUUGUCUCAUUCAGGAAAUUAGGAAAGCAACAUCCUUUCUACAUCAGUAUGUCACCAUGUGUGUUAUUCUCACAAACACUGGUCUUUGAAAUCCCUUAAGAUUUAACCUUAAAAGUGAAUAUUUUCUUCAGUUUUAUAUUUUUUUCUGGAAACAUUUAUUGACAUUUUUCUAACUUUCAUGUCCUGCUUUCAUAUACAUUGGCAUAUGCAGAGGAGGAACAUUUAUUUGAGGAAUGCCUGUUUCCACUCACUAUAACAAGUCAUUUUGUUAUCUAUAAAUUGGAGAUAAGAGCUUCACUGAAUAUUUAGGGUUGUAAAUGGGAUAAAAUGAUAUAAUAUAUGCAAAAUUAUUUUGGAAGCUCCGGAAGAUAAAAUCAUAGCUCUUGUAAAAGUAAACUUAUGUGCUCCAAAGUAUAUAGUUCGUAAAUUGCAAAGUUUGUGGUGUGGUUUAGGUAGACUAAAGGAUUUUAUUGUCGAAACAAAUUCUAAUUGAUUAAACAUCUUAGUGGUGCAACUGACUUCCCCUAACACAUUUGUUUUAUGGGUUCAGGUGUUUAAAUUUCUCUCAGAGCAAGCAGGACACAUUUGCUCUUCUUUUAUAAAGCACAUCUACUUUAAUGGACUUUUGUUGUAUGUAGUACUUCUAUUUCAAUGCAGCUGUAAGCCAGUUUGAUCACUAUGUAUUUGGUUUUCCUGGAACUUCAGUCUUUCUCAGAUGACAACAAAAACAAGUGAAAGCUUUCAGCACAGCCAGAUUCAAAGUCUGAAAGCUUUUUAAAAUCAGGUCUUUAACUUUCUACAAAGCUGGACCUCUGGCUGUGAGAAUAACCCUGAUCAACAGUGUUGUCAUAGUCCCAGAUCUGUCAUACUGUACUUAAAUGCUGUUACACUUUGGUACAGAAAGUGCAUCAGAAUCAAAUGAUUAAAUCUGAGCUUUGCCUGCUGUGAAAGUUUCAAACAACCACAUUAAAAAAAGAGGCUUGUCAGCACCUACGAAUGCAGCAUGUAGGUGUUGAAGGUGUGGGUAAUUAAUGAUCUUGGAGAGAUUGGUGGACUG